GACGAACGCUGGCGGCGUGCCUAAUACAUGCAAGUCGAGCGAAUCUGAYGGGAGCUUGCUCCCUGAUGAUUAGCGGCGGACGGGUGAGUAACACGUGGGUAACCUGCCUGUAAGACUGGGAUAACUCCGGGAAACCGGGGCUAAUACCGGAUAACUUUUUUCUUCGCAUGARGGAGAAUUGAAAGAUGGCUYCGGCUAUCACUUACAGAUGGACCCGCGGCGCAUUAGCUAGUUGGUGAGGUAAYGGCUCACCAAGGCGACGAUGCGUAGCCGACUUGAGAGGGUGAUCGGCCACACUGGGACUGAGACACGGCCCAGACUCCUACGGGAGGCAGCAGUAGGGAAUCUUCCGCAAUGGACGAAAG
rnacentral:rRNA from 1 species